rnacentral:rRNA from 1 species
GAUGAACGCUGGCGGCGUGCCUAAUACAUGCAAGUCGAGCGAACAGACGAGGAGCUUGCUCCUCUGACGUUAGCGGCGGACGGGUGAGUAACACGUGGAUAACCUACCUAUAAGACUGGGAUAACUUCGGGAGACCGGAGCUAAUACCGGAUAAUAUAUUGAACCGCAUGGUUCAAUAGUGAAAGACGGUUUUGCUGUCACUUAUAGAUGGAUCCGCGCCGCAUUAGCUAGUUGGUAAGGUAACGGCUUACCAAGGCAACGAUGCGUAGCCGACCUGAGAGGGUGAUCGGCCACUCUGGAACUGAGACACGGUCCAGACUCCUACGGGAGGCAGCAGUAGGGAAUCUUCCGCAAUGGGCGAAAGCCUGACGGAGCAACGCCGCGUGAGUGAUGAAGGUCUUCGGAUCGUAAAACUCUGUUAUUAGGGAAGAACAAAUGUGUAAGUAACUAUGCACGUCUUGACGGUACCUAAUCAGAAAGCCACGGCUAACUACGUG